GUGUCAGCCGCCGCGGUAAUACGAGGGGUGCUAGCGUUGUCCGGAUUUACUGGGCGUAAAGGGUACGUAGGCGUUUUAAUAAGUUGUAUGUUAAAUAUCUUAGCUUAACUAAGAAAGUGCAUCCAAAACUGUUAAAAUAGAGUUUGAGAGAGGAACGCAGAAUUCAUGGUGGAGCGGUGACAUGCGUAGAUAUCAUGAGGAAAGUCAAAUGCGAAGGCAGCCUUCUGGCUCAAAACUGACGCUGAGGUACGAAAGCGUGGGGAGCGAACAGGAUUAGAUACCCUGGUAGUCCACGCCGUAAACGAUGAGUAUUUGAUGCUGGGGGAUUCGACCCUUUCAGUGCCGUAGCUAACGCGAUAAAUACUCCGCCUGGGGACUACGAUCGCAAGAUUGAA
rnacentral:rRNA from 1 species